UCCCUUGAUAGCUCAGGCAGGCAGAGCACCCGGUGGCGAACCGGAAGGUCCCGGUUCGAGUCCGGGUAAGGGAA
rnacentral:tRNA from 2 species